CUCAGGUAGGCCUAGUGGUUUGAGCACUGGACUAUGACUCUGGAGACCAGAGUUCGAUUCCUCAGCCAUGAAA